CACGCAGGCCCCGAGGACCCUCGCGGGAGGACCCGGCCGGGCCGGGCCGCUCUGCUAUCGACAAACCUCCACGCUCACCCCGGGUGCAGACGUCCCAAGGCUGUCCCCACAGGAAGAAGUGGUUUUUCCCCAUAAUGUGGUAUGACAUGAAAAUGGGCAUUCCUGCAGGUUCUAUUCACCCUCUCCCCUCAUCUUUCUGGAAGCAAGCCAAUUAGCAGAAAAUCAGACCCAAUUUAAGUCGAAAUGCUGAAGAAAA